GAUGAACGCUGGCGGCGCGCCUAACACAUGCAAGUCGAACGGUUAAAGCACCUUUUUAGGUGUGUAUAAAGUGGCGAACGGCUGAGUAACACGUGGGCAACCUGCCCUCCUCUUGGGGAUAGCCUCGGGAAACCGAGGAUAAUACCCGAUACUUCAAUGUGGCCGCAUGACGACAUUGAGAAAGCUUUUGCGGAGAAGGAUGGGCCCGCGGCCUGUUAGCUUGUUGGUGGGGUAGAGGCCUACCAAGGCAAUGAUGGGUAGCUGGGUUGAGAGACCGACCAGCCAGAUUGGGACUGAGACACGGCCCAGACUCCUACGGGAGGCAGCAGUGGGGAAUCUUGCACAAUGGGCGAAAGCCUGAUGCAGCGACGCCGCGUGCGGGACGAAGGCCUUCGGGUUGUAAACCGCUUUCAGCAGGGACGAGGCGAUAAGUGACGGUACCUGCAGAAGAAGCCCCGGCUAACUACGUGCCAGCAGCCGCGGUAAUACGUAGGGGGCAAGCGUUAUCCGGAUUCAUUGGGCGUAAAGCGCUCGUAGGCGGUCUGUUAGGUCGGGAGUUAAAUCCGGAGGCUCAACCUCCGCCCGCUCCCGAUACCGGCAGACUUGAGUUUGGUAGGGGAAGGUGGAAUUCCUAGUGUAGCGGUGGAAUGCGCAGAUAUUAGGAAGAACACCAGUGGCGAAGGCGGCCUUCUGGGCCAUAACUGACGCUGAGGAGCGAAAGCUAGGGGAGCAAACAGG
rnacentral:rRNA from 1 species